GGAAGCCGAACACCUUCCGCUUAGGUACAAAACUUUUUGCAACCAACUGUACAUAACAGAGAAUAUUGGAUGUACAGUAGAUGCAGUUUGAUGAGAGAGAAGAAAGUCGAUAGUAAGCGUUUCACCUGGACAUAUCUACAGGAAGAAGGGAGGAGACUCACAAAAAGGGAUUACAUAGUCUUAGAUCAAGGGCCGCGCAUGAGCACACUGAAAUCCGUCAACUUCAUUAAUGACAUCUUAACACUCCUCCUAUUGAAGUGGGCUCUGCAACUGUUUAUUAAACUUGCCUUCUUCUAACUUCAUCAU
rnacentral:lncRNA from 1 species